UCCAGACCCUGGUGGCUGUGAGGGCUUCUGAUGGUGUCAGGGCAGGCCUGGCAGCCAGGGCUUGUCCCAGUGCUGCAGCCAGGAGCAGGACAGCCAUAGGCAGCCCCAGGCCUGGGCAUCGGCACCUCCCUCGGCACAGGAACAGUAGAUUUCAGGCUAAAGGAUUUGUUGAAGUGCGGAUGGGGGAGAGCCAAGCCCUUGCCUGGCUUAAUUCACAGUGAGGAAUCAAGACUACUUAAUGUAGUUUGGAGACAUAAAUACAUGCAGAAAAUGUUCUGUUUCUUCAUAUUCAUGUUUGCCUCAUCUCUUCUUGUUCUAACGAGAUAUUACAUACAGAGACAUAAGAACUGCCCUACUGAGCUGAAACCAAAUAACUGAAUGAAGAAAUUGUGCACCAUUAUGGAUCUUUGUAGCAAAGUAUCCAGCACAGGAGAUACCACAAGCUGCAGAUCUUCACUAUAGUGGGAGCCAAAGAUUAUGGAUGAAUGCAGAUCGGAAAUAGGACAGCUGUAAAGAUCUUCUGUGUUAUGUUGGGUUACUGAAGGUUGGAUGGAUUGUUACAUUUUUUAAGGUGUUUGACAUAAGUAGUGAUCUGAUUAAUUAUGAAAGGAACAUUAAAAAUGAAAAAGGAGAAAGAUUAUAAACUAAAAGGAGGAAUUUGAGAAAGUUAAUGAAGGAAGCAAAAGGAAAUGACAAAAUUUAUGUGCAGCAGAUUUCAGAAAUCUGGAAAUAAAAAUGUAGGAGCUUUCA
rnacentral:lncRNA from 1 species